UCUGCCCCAAUUCAAAAUUGGAAUUUUUCCAAUUUGAGAUUUGAAUUUCAAACUGUUUGGCUCAAAUUUGUCCCUUUCCAUUUAAAAUCAGCCUUGGACCCUUAAAGAUGUUUUGUAGCAUUCAAAAUCCUGAACAAGUUUCAUUUUGACAGAAAUUUGACUUCUAUUCAAAAUUUGGAAGUAAUUUAAAAAAAACAGCGAAGGAGGAGAUAAGGCCAGCUACAGUAGCCGGCCAAUGGCCGCUCGCCUGCUUCACCUCCCGGUCACUGCCGAGUCGCCGUGCUUGAUUUGCCGCCUUUCACGCAUGCGACACGCAGCUGGGUGACGUAGCAAAGACGAGCAGGAGCUGGCAAUCGCUGACCGCCGUGUCCUUCUUCCAUUUCCCUUCCUCUGUUUCCGCAGCCAGGCAAAGCUCGUCGCGUUGCCGUGCUGUUGCUGCUGCCGCUGCCAUGCCACUGCUAUACCACAACCCAACGAUCCAUGGACACAACUUCGCAUCACUCUUGCGCUUUUGCUGAGUCUUCUUGCGCGGCCUCGCACCAUCGGAGUCAGCCUAGAGCCGCCAUCUUCUUUCUACGGUCUAGAGCACCGCCGAGCUCCACCUCCGCGUGGCCACGCUCCUGCAGACCACCUCCGACCGAGUAGAGGACACCAUAAAAUGCGCAUGAGUCCGAGAAAGCUCCCUCACCACUCCGUUGCCACAGAUACGCAUCCCACCGUCGAAACCGCAAGCUCCGACGAGCUUCCUCUGUUUUCAGCUCGCGCUAGGGACCUCGUGCAACAAUUUGAUGUUUCUCAGGGGUCUAAUUGCAGAGACUGUGACUCAGAAAAUCUCAUCCCCAACAAGUUGAGCUUGCUGCGCUUAUUGAUUUGGAAGGGUUCUUCCUCAAUUGGUGGCUCCCCAUUCAAGUCUGGUUAGGCCUCAUGGAUUUAGAAGGGUACUUUGCCUGGUGGCUCAUCAUUUAAGUCUGCUAAUGUCUCUCCUUGAUCUAGCGGUUCUACAUUUAGGUCAAAAGCUAUAGGUGCUACUCUGCAUGGCGAGGAGGAAUAGAAGGAGGAAACGGAAGGAGUAAUCUAGUGUCUACCAAGCUUUUAUAGGCUGGCAAAUUUUUAAUUUGACUAUUGUUUGCUUCCAUGUUUAAAUGUGUAUUCAUUGUGUGGCUAUUAUUGGACCGCACGUGUUGGUUACCCAGGUGUCUGAGCCAUUAUAUAAUAUUAAAUAUUUUGUAUUUAUGGAGAAUCAUUCAUAUGCAAUGAUUGCCUCUCGUGUAACUCUGGGAACAAUACAAUAGGAAAG